AGAGUGCUUGCCUCAUAUACAUGAGGCCCUGGGUUGGAGUCCUCAGCACAACAUUAAGAGAAAAGGCUGGAAGUGGCACUGUGGCUCAAGUGGUAGAGUGCUAGCCUUGAGCAAAAAGAAGACAGAGACAGUGCUCAGGCCCUGAUUUCAAACCCCAGGAAUGG